AUUGAACGCUGGCGGCAGGCAUAACACAUGCAAGUCGAGAGGAGCGGCGGACGGGUGAGUAAUGCCUAGGAAGCUGCCUGGUAGUGGGGGAGAACGUCCGGAAACGGGCGCUAAUACCGCAUAAUAUAAGAUGAGCCUAGGUCGGAUUAGCUAGUUGGGGGGGUAAAGGCCUACCAAGGCGACGAUCCGUAACUGGUCUGAGAGGAUGAUCAGUCACACUGGAACUGAGACACGGUCCAGACUCCUACGGGAGGCAGCAGUGGGGAAUAUUGGACAAUGGGCGAAAGCCUGAUCCCGCCAUGCCGCGUGUAUGAAGAAGGCCUUCGGGUUGUAAAGUACUUUCAGCGGGGAGGCGUUACCAACAGAAUAAGCACCGGCUAACUUCGUGCCAGCAGCCGCGGUAAUAC
rnacentral:rRNA from 1 species